AUUGAACGCUGGCGGCAGGCCUAACACAUGCAAGUCGAACGGUAACAGGAAACAGCUUGCUGUUUCGCUGACGAGUGGCGGACGGGUGAGUAAUGUCUGGGAAACUGCCUGAUGGAGGGGGAUAACUACUGGAAACGGUAGCUAAUACCGCAUAACGUCGCAAGACCAAAGAGGGGGACCUUCGGGCCUCUUGCCAUCGGAUGUGCCCAGAUGGGAUUAGCUAGUAGGUGGGGUAACGGCUCGCCUAGGCGACGAUCCCUAGCUGGUCUGAGAGGAUGACCAGCCACACUGGAACUGAGACACGGUCCAGACUCCUACGGGAGGCAGCAGUGGGGAAUAUUGCACAAUGGGCGCAAGCCUGAUGCAGCCAUGCCGCGUGUAUGAAGAAGGCCUUCGGGUUGUAAAGUACUUUCAGCGGGGAGGAAGGGAGUAAAGUUAAUACCUUUACUCAUUGACGUUACCCGCAGAAGAAGCACCGGCUAACUCCGUA
rnacentral:rRNA from 1 species